UGGAAACCAUGAAGUAGAGAUAAUCGGGUGCUGAAUGUUGUAUGAUUGGAAAUUUUUAUUAUGUAAGUUAUGUAAUCAAUCUAAGUAUUUUUUUUAAAAGGAGAGCAUCAUAAAAUUACACUCCAG